GAUAAUGGCUCAGAUUGAACGCUGGCGGCAUGCCUUACACAUGCAAGUCGAACGGUAACGGGUCUUCGGACGCUGACGAGUGGCGAACGGGUGAGUAAUACAUCGGAACGUGCCCAGUCGUGGGGGGAUAACUACUCGAAAGAGUAGCUAAUACCGCAUACGAUCUGAGGAUGAAAGCGGGGGACCUUCGGGCCUCGCGCGAUUGGAGCGGCCGAUGGCAGAUUAGGUAGUUGGUGGGAUAAAAGCUU
rnacentral:rRNA from 1 species